rnacentral:rRNA from 1 species
UGAGGAAUAUUGGUCAAUGGGCGAGAGCCUGAACCAGCCAAGUCGCGUGAAGGAAGACAGUCCUAAGGAUUGUAAACUUCUUUUAUACGGGAAUAACGGGCGAUACGAGUAUUGCAUUGAAUGUACCGUAAGAAUAAGCAUCGGCUAACUCCGUGCCAGCAGCCGCGGUAAUACGGAGGAUGCGAGCGUUAUCCGGAUUUAUUGGGUUUAAAGGGUGCGUAGGUUGUUCGGUAAGUCAGCGGUGAAACCUGAGCGCUCAACGUUCAGCCUGCCGUUGAAGAUGCCGGGCUUGAGUUCAGUGGCGGCAGGCGGAAUUCGUGGUGUAGCGGUGAAAUGCAUAGGUAUCACGAGGAACUCCGAUUGCGAAGGCAGCUUGCCAUACUGCGACUGACACUGAAGCACGAAGGCGUGGGUAUCAAACAGG